rnacentral:rRNA from 1 species
GACGAACGCUGGCGGCGCGCUUAACACAUGCAAGUCGAACGGAAAGGCCUGCUUUCCCUUGUGGAUUGCGGGUACUCGAGUGGCGAACGGGUGAGUAACACGUGAGUGAUCUGCCCCCAACUUGGGUAUAAGCCUGGGAAACUGGGUCUAAUUCCCGAUAGGACUGCAGGGUGGUGCCUGUGGUGGAAAACGAUUUUCUAGUGGUUGGGGUGCGCUCGCGGCCUAUCAGCCUGUUGGUGGGGUAAUGGCCUACCAAGGCGGCGACGGGUAGCCGGCCUGAGAGGGUGGACGGCCACAUUGGGACUGAGAUACGGCCCAGACUCCUACGGGAGGCAGCAGUGGGGAAUAUUGCACAAUGGGCGGAAGCCUGAUGCAGCGACGCCGCGUGGGGGAUGACGGCCUUCGGGUUGUAAACUCCUUUCGACCGCGAGGAAGCCACCCGGUUGGAAGGGUGGUGACGGUAGUGGUAGAAGAAGCACCGGCUAACUACGUG